CCUACGGGAGGCAGCAGUGAGGAAUAUUGGUCAAUGGACGAGAGUCUGAACCAGCCAAGUAGCGUGAAGGAUGACUGCCCUAUGGGUUGUAAACUUCUUUUAUAUGGGAAUAAAAUGUUCCACGUGUGGGAUUUUGUAUGUACCAUAUGAAUAAGGAUCGGCUAACUCCGUGCCAGCAGCCGCGGUAAUACGGAGGAUCCGAGCGUUAUCCGGAUUUAUUGGGUUUAAAGGGAGCGUAGGUGGAUUGUUAAGUCAGUUGUGAAAGUUUGCGGCUCAACCGUAAAAUUGCAGUUGAAACUGGAAGUCUUGAGUACAGUAGAGGUGGGCGGAAUUCGUGGUGUAGCGGUGAAAUGCUUAGAUAUCACGAAGAACUCCGAUUGCGAAGGCAGCUCACUGGACUGCAACUGACGUUGAGGCCCGAAAGCGUGGGGAGCAAACAGGAUUAGAUACCCCUGUAGUC
rnacentral:rRNA from 1 species